UGGGGAAUUUUGGACAAUGGGCGAAAGCCUGAUCCAGCAAUGCCGCGUGUGUGAAGAAGGCCUUCGGGUUGUAAAGCACUUUUGUCCGGAAAGAAAUCCUUGGCUCUAAUACAGUCGGGGGAUGACGGUACCGGAAGAAUAAGCACCGGCUAACUACGUGCCAGCAGCCGCGGUAAUACGUAGGGUGCAAGCGUUAAUCGGAAUUACUGGGCGUAAAGCGUGCGCAGGCGGUUUGCUAAGACCGAUGUGAAAUCCCCGGGCUCAACCUGGGAACUGCAUUGGUGACUGGCAGGCUAGAGUAUGGCAGAGGGGGGUAGAAUUCCACGUGUAGCAGUGAAAUGCGUAGAGAUGUGGAGGAAUACCGAUGGCGAAGGCAGCCCCCCUGGGCCAAUACUGACGCUCAUGCACGAAAAGGCGUGGGGAGCAAAACAGGAUUAGAUACCCCUGGUAGUCCACGCCCCUAAAACGAUGUCAACUAGUUGUUGGGGAUUCAUUUCCUAGUAACGUAGCUAACGCGUGAAGUUGACCGCCUGGGGAGUACGGUCGCAAGAUUAAAACUCAAAGGAAUUGACGGGGUCAUAGCUGUUUCCU
rnacentral:rRNA from 1 species